rnacentral:rRNA from 1 species
UGGGGAAUUUUGGACAAUGGGCGAAAGCCUGAUCCAGCAAUGCCGCGUGUGUGAAGAAGGCCUUCGGGUUGUAAAGCACUUUUGUCCGGAAAGAAAUCCUUGGCUCUAAUACAGUCGGGGGAUGACGGUACCGGAAGAAUAAGCACCGGCUAACUACGUGCCAGCAGCCGCGGUAAUACGUAGGGUGCAAGCGUUAAUCGGAAUUACUGGGCGUAAAGCGUGCGCAGGCGGUUUGCUAAGACCGAUGUGAAAUCCCCGGGCUCAACCUGGGAACUGCAUUGGUGACUGGCAGGCUAGAGUAUGGCAGAGGGGGGUAGAAUUCCACGUGUAGCAGUGAAAUGCGUAGAGAUGUGGAGGAAUACCGAUGGCGAAGGCAGCCCCCUGGGCCAAUACUGACGCUCAUGCACGAAAGGCGUGGGGGAGCAAACAGGAUUAGAUACCCCUGGUAGUCCACGCCCUAAACGAUGUCAACUAGUUGUUGGGGAUUCAUUUCCUUAGUAACGUAGCUAACGCGUGAAGUUGACCGCCUGGGGAGUACGGUCGCAAGAUUAAAACUUAAAUGAAUUGACGGGGUCAUAGCUGUUUCCU